AGUGAACGCUGGCGGUAGGCCUAACACAUGCAAGUCGAACGGCAGCACAGUAAGAGCUUGCUCUUACGGGUGGCGAGUGGCGGACGGGUGAGGAAUACAUCGGAAUCUACUUUUUCGUGGGGGAUAACGUAGGGAAACUUACGCUAAUACCGCAUACGACCUACGGGUGAAAGCAGGGGAUCUUCGGACCUUGCGCGAUUGAAUGAGCCGAUGUCGGAUUAGCUAGUUGGCGGGGUAAAGGCCCACCAAGGCGACGAUCCGUAGCUGGUCUGAGAGGAUGAUUAGCCACACUGGAACUGAGAAAGGGUCCAGACUCCUACGGGAGGCAGCAGUGGAGAAUAUUGGACGAUGGGGGCAAGCCUGAUCCAGCCAUACCGCGUGGGUGAAGAAGGCCUUCGGGUUGUAAAGCCCUUUUGUUGGGAAAGAAAAGCAGCAGGUUAAUACGCCGCUGUUCUGACGGUACCCAAAGAAUAAGCACCGGCUAACUUCGUG
rnacentral:rRNA from 1 species